rnacentral:misc_RNA from 1 species
AAAAAAAAAAAUUAUAUUUUAUUAAUGAAUUAUAUAAUUUUCAUUAAAAUAAAAUUUUUAUGAAUUGAAAAAUUUUAGUUCAACUUUAGCUAUUUUAAAUACUAACAAAAGUAUAUAAGGAUCAUAUUAAAUUGCCCAUUCAUCCACAUCCUACAUUUAUUAAGCAUCUUCUAAAAGCUUGCUACAGCUUGCUACAAGAGCCCUUUUUCUCUUAUUCAAGCAUCAAUCAAUAUUUUUUGUGCAUAAAUGGUGAUGUUUGUGCAUAGGACCACUUAUUUAUUUUAAUUAACACUUCAAUUAACUUCAUGUUAUUUUUUAAAAGUGCAUAUCAAUGAUAUGAAAUUGGCAUUAAUAUCAUUAAUAAAUUCAUUUUGGGUUGGACCCAGCUAAAAUUAACAUAUUCAAUUUGAACAAUAUGACUUCUCUCCUAAUUUUCGUUUUUUUCUAGAUUUCUAUGUCAAGACAGCUUAUGUGUCUGAAAUAUUUAUUAUUUUAUUUGUAAAUUUUAA